rnacentral:rRNA from 1 species
GCCUGCCCAGUGACCAUGUUCAACGGCCGCGGUAUCCUAACCGUGCGAAGGUAGCGUAAUCACUUGUUCUUUAAAUGUGGACUAGUAUGAAUGGCACCACGAAGGUUAUACUGUCUCCUUUUUCUAAUCAGUGAAACUAAUCUCCCCGUGAAGAAGCGAGGAUAUACCUAUAAGACGAGAAGACCCUAUGGAGCUUUAAACAACACAGCAAUUACCUGCUAAACUAAGAAGUUUCUGAACAUUUUCAAUCUUUUAAGUAAUCUGACUGCAAGUUUUUGGUUGGGGUGACCACGGAGCAUAACACAACCUCCAUGUUGAAAGAAUUCUUUCUAAGCCAAGAACAACCUUUCUAAGCAUCAAUAUAUUGACAUCCAUUGACCCAAUACAUUUGACCAACGAACCAAGUUACCCUAGGGAUAACAGCGCAAUCCACUUCAAGAGCUCCUAUCGACAAGUGGGUUUACGACCUCGAUGUUGGAUCAGGGUAUCCCAGUGGUGCAGCC